rnacentral:rRNA from 1 species
AGUGAACGCUGGCGGUAGGCCUAACACAUGCAAGUCGAACGGCAGCACAGUAAGAGCUUGCUCUUACGGGUGGCGAGUGGCGGACGGGUGAGGAAUACAUCGGAAUCUACUUUUUCGUGGGGGAUAACGUAGGGAAACUUACGCUAAUACCGCAUACGACCUACGGGUGAAAGCAGGGGAUCUUCGGACCUUGCGCGAUUGAAUGAGCCGAUGUCGGAUUAGCUAGUUGGCGGGGUAAAGGCCCACCAAGGCGACGAUCCGUAGCUGGUCUGAGAGGAUGAUCAGCCACACUGGAGCUGAGACACGGUCCAGACUCCUACGGGAGGCAGCAGUGGGGAAUAUUGGACAAUGGGCGCAAGCCUGAUCCAGCCAUACCGCGUGGGUGAAGAAGGCCUUCGGGUGGUAAAGCCCUUUUGUUGGGAAAGAAAAGCAGCAGGUUAAUACCCCGCUGUUCUGACGGUACCCAAAGAAUAAGCACCGGCUAACUUCGUG